GACAGACGUGGAUGCCUCAGCGCAUGAUGGCUCCACCCCGCUAAUCCUGGCUACACGACUGGGGGUCGGAAAUGUGGUGGAAGAGCUAGUGGCCAAUCAUGUAGACGUUGGUGCCACAGACAAGAGAGGGGAAAGCGCCGUCCACUGGGCUGCAGCCGUCAACCACGUACGAGCUGCCGUGGUCCUGCUCCAAAAUGGAGCCAAUAAGGAUGCCCAGGACCAGCGGGUGCAGGCGCCGCUCUUCCUUGCAGCCCAAGAGGGGAGCUACAAAGUGGUUUGCCUCCU